AAUUAUUUUGUCCAAUGUGUAUUAUGUCUCACAUUUUGCUUAAUGAGAGAGUGAAACGCAAUGUCAUUGGACAAAGAUAUUGGACGGAUGGAAUACCAUACCACCCUUAGGUUGGAAAAUACCCUAUUUAUUGGUACAAUGUGUAUUGCGUCUACUGCGUCUGACUCUCUCACUAAGCAAAAUGUGAUACACACUGGACAGAUGGAAUUCGACCCUUAGAAGGACUCUAAGAAUUCUAAAUAUUUAAAGUCGUUGACAACAAUGUUACAAAUAGUGGUCAGUGGGCGUGUUGACACAUGUACGUUAGUUUGGCGUAUAUUUUAUAAUAGCAACGUGUGGAUUUCCAAACAUUGUAGGGAGGAAAUCACAGUACCUGGUAGGUAUAACAUUUAGUUAAUAUAUUAAACGACUAUUAUAAUUACUUGAGUAUUACGUUGACUAUAAGUACAAUAUCUUACUUUCGUUUAUUUAUGUAUAUUCAGAUAUCUGCCGUUUACCUUGAUUUAGGCAAUAAUCAUAUUUAACUGUGGCGUUAUGUCUAUUCAUUAAGAAUUGCCGCUUACAGAUAAUUCUCUUCUGUAAUGUUAUCUGUUAAUUGACGCAAAAAAGUUAUUGUAAAUAGAUUUCGUUUAAGUAAAUAAAUAUUUAACUUGUACCCAAGUUAUUGUAUAAA